GGCCCCAUCGUAUAGCGGCCUAGUACGCCGCCCUCUCACGGCGGUAACACGGGUUCAAAUCCCGUUGGGGUCA
rnacentral:tRNA from 3 species